UACGGAGGGUGCAAGCGUUAUCCGGAUUCACUGGGUUUAAAGGGUGCGUAGGUGGGCAAGUAAGUCAGUGGUGAAAUCUCCGGGCUUAACCCGGAAACUGCCAUUGAUACUAUUUGUCUUGAAUACUGUGGAGGUCAGCGGAAUAUGUCAUGUAGCGGUGAAAUGCUUAGAUAUGACAUAGAACACCAAUUGCGAAGGCAGUUGACUACGCGAGUAUUGACGCUGAGGCACGAAAGCGUGGGGAUCAAACAGG
rnacentral:rRNA from 1 species